rfam:Nicotiana attenuata strain TT chromosome 8, whole genome shotgun sequence.
AUUCCGCUAUGGUGACACUUUUUAACUAUCUCCUUAAACCUCUCACAUGCUUCAAAAACUGUUUCAGUCUCUUUCUGGCAAAAGUUAUGGAUUUCUCUUCUAAACAU